rnacentral:rRNA from 1 species
UGGGGAAUAUUGGACAAUGGGCGAAAGCCUGAUCCAGCCAUGCCGCGUGUGUGAAGAAGGUCUUCGGAUUGUAAAGCACUUUAAGUUGGGAGGAAGGGCAGUAAGCGAAUACCUUGCUGUUUUGACGUUACCGACAGAAUAAGCACCGGCUAACUCUGUGCCAGCAGCCGCGGUAAUACAGAGGGUGCGAGCGUUAAUCGGAUUUACUGGGCGUAAAGCGUGCGUAGGCGGCUGAUUAAGUCGUAUGUGAAAUCCCUGAGCUUAACUUAGGAAUUGCAUUCAAUACUGGUCAGCUAGAGUAUGGGAGAGGAUGGUAGAAUUCCAGGUGUAGCGGUGAAAUGCGGAGAGAUCUGGAGGAAUACCGAUAGCGAAGGCAGCCAUCUGGCCUAAUAAUGACGCUAAAGUACGAAAGAAUGGGGAGCAAACAGG